rnacentral:rRNA from 1 species
UCAGCUAGUGUAUAUCACCCUGCAGCUUUCACCUGGCUACCCACUGAAGCUAAGCAGGGUUAAGCCUCAUUAGUACCUGGAUGGGAGACCACAUCAAAAGCUAUGGUUGCUGCUGGA